AAUUCCCCACGCCUUCCCAGCGGAGAGAGCAGCGUGGAUCCCCCUGGGGACAGGAAUAAACUGUGUCCUUGUAGAAAAAACAAUCCUCUUCCCAGCAGUGAGAAUGUCCUAGAUUUCCCUGCACCCACAACGGCCCCUUGACCCCAAGACCUGGUAGGGCAAUGGCUCCAGGACAGUGUCCAGGGUCGCCAGGACUGAAGAGGCACCUCAACAGAAUCCAUUUUUAGGGCGUUUCAGUGUUAAUAAGGUUUUCUUCAGUGCCAGGACUACAGAAAUUGCAUUCUUUCCACAAUUUAUUUUAGUUAUAAUUAAAUAAUACAGCAUUAGGGAGCACCAAAGGAAUCUCGAGGGGAAGGAAGAGGAAAGAUGCUGAAAUUAGGUCAUUCCCAAGGCUUUGGGUCUGCGAGGUCCACUGACUCGUUGGAGAAAGGGCUGUGGCAUGGAUGGAUGCUGUGCACGGGCAGAGCUCCUGCACAUGGCAAUGAACUGCGGGUCAGCUCCCUCAAAUUUGUCCGAUGGGGAGUAAGGCUGAAAAUAUUUCUAAACUCAUUUUCUUUUUCCUCUGGAGGGAGAUAAGAGUAAACAUGAAUCAUUCUUCUAAAAGUUUGAGAAGCAUGUUGUUCCAAGAAGAAAUAUGCAAUUUUUCUUUUUACAGUAACAAGUUCGCAGGAAACUUCAGGAGGCUUUUACAAAGGCUUGUAACCACUUUGAAGCUGGAGACUUUUUAUAUAGGUAUAGCACUUGUGUAACAAGGUCUUAGCUGUGAAUGGGAUUCCUGGGUGCAGUUGCAAUAAAGUGAUUAAUAGUAUCAUUCAUGGUAUCAUACCUCAUUCAUAGGUUUCCUGUAAGUAAAGAGGAAUACAUUGGCAGGAAUACAGUGGUUGUGACUUUAAACACGAUACUCUUGGGGGGAAAGUUACAGCAAACACGUGCACUGAAGGGCAAUGCAACUGGUAAAGCUACGAAAAUGGCUCCAGAGAGUAAUUUUUAGAUCAAAAAUCGGGGGGAAAAAAGCACACAAAGAGGUAGUUCUAGAAAGGUUUGUGGCACGGAGAAAGUAAGGUGAGUAUUACCACACAGCUUGUGUGGGUCAGGGGUGAUCACUGUUUAUUCAGAAACAAACACUAAGGAGUAGUGCUUAUUUGUUUGGGGUUUUUUGCAGUCUGGAGACAGAAAGGCCUGAUUUUGUUACCAAAAUGCUUAUCACCAAAAUGUUUGUCACUGCUGCUUGUGACACAUAUCCCUGAGAAGGCCACGGAGGAUGCAAAAGGGAAUGCAGAACAGUCAUCAAAGGAGAAGUAAAUGUCCUGGCCGUGGGCUGCAGCAGCUCAGGAUGCAUUUGGAGCCUCAAGAGAAGUGACAAAUAAUGGGUCAAUAUUUCCUAUAAAGCUGCUUAUUUCAUUUGAAAGCAAAUAACGGGUCAAUAUUUCUGCUUAUUUCAUUUGAGGAAUAAGUUGUUAAACAGCUACCAAGUGACUGAAGUAUGGAGAAGGGUGUCGGGUGAUAAAAUAUGACCCGGUGUUUCACUGUACCAGGAUCCCCAUGAUCAGCUAAAACAAGACAUUUAACUCGAUCCAAGAGGACAUCAGCCCUCGGGAGCAGGCAGGGUGACCAACACAGCGGUCACUUGGGCCGCCUCCCUGCCCAGGCUCAAACACUCCCCGGCCGGCGCUGCUCCUAUUUUUAAAUCUCUGUGCUAUGAAAGGCCCCGUUUCACAGCACCUGAAUUGGUGCCUUACAGGCAGGGACUCGGGAGUGUGUUUAUCACGCAGCUGUCAUCGCUUUUGAGGAAACAGGCCCAGGGCACUGCGGAUGUUGUCCUAAAGCCACCCGAGGAGACAGGCACGACGUGGCCUUUUGCACCAGGGCAGCUUCUGCUGUGUGGCACAGGCAAUGCUGCACAGAGCAAACUGACCCACGACGGCUGGACCCAGGGCCUUUUACCCGGGGAGGAAUGAUACACUGAAUUUUCAGUUACUGAAUUUCAUUCCGUCUUGCUUACAUUGUUUCACAGGGAGGUGUUUACCCGUUUGAAAAGGUAAAAUGUUCCCUCUACUUGCAACAGGAAAGCCCAGGAGUGAGUAUUGUCGCUGGAGAUAAUGUUACAGCCUUAGCAACGUGACACUUUAAAACUUCAUCAGUCUCCAAGAAUUUCAGAAAAAGCAAUGAAUGAAGGUAGCAAGUGUUAAGAGCAGGCAGUGCUUGCAAGAAGUGCCCUUACCAGCAGCGUUUUCAAGAGCUGUUUUCUGUUUCUAGUUAUCACUAGAGCAGCACAGCUCAGACCGCUUUUAAAUAAUUAUACUUAACAGUUAAAAAAACCCUCCCGUGCUAAAAUAAAUUUUAGCUAAGAUGGUUUUAUGCUUUGCAGCCUCAUAUGACACUCAAUCUUUCUCGUGUGACUGUUGUAACGAGUCAAAUUCAUGUAUUUUGAUACCAUGCACGUGAUAAAGAUGCUUGGAUCACUUAAGGCUGUACAAAACUGCAGUGCUCGCAUGUCAUUUAUCUUAAAAUCCUAUUGUAGUGCUCGUGAAACGUAAUUUCUUCAUUGAAUGGGAAUUUAUACUGACAGAGGUGUUAUAAAACAUGGAAAAUACUACAGGGAGGGGGCCCAACGUUUUCUUUAUCUCCUCAAGUGUUCACUAACGGGGAUUUAUUUUUCAGCUCAGCGUUGGUUCAUUGCAGGUUACAGAGCUCUGGUGCAAUUACAGGGACCCGCUUUCAGCCUUCUUAAGCAAAAUUCACAUUACUUGCAACAGGUUGGAAAUGUGUGCUGUGGCCUUGAGGCAGCAAACUGGUUCACAGGCUGCAGUUUCCAUAUUGGUUCCUAAAGCUGCUUGUAGGAAAUCACCCAGCCUAAAGGAACUCCUGGGAUCCCAGCCUCUGCCUUCCAGUUUCAAAAUGCAUGGGUAAGAAAAACCAAUUUAUAUUCAUAACCUUGAGUAAAUAAACUGUCACUUUAACUACACAUUUUAUUGUAAUUAAGCGCUUCCCAGUAAUAACCAACCCACACUAUGAAGCUGUUUCUUAAUAUAACAGUAAGGCAAGUUCUAGGCUGUGAGCAGAAUUAGGAAGAUUUUAAAAGCACAGACCAGUUGAUAUAACAGGGCAAUGUCACGCAGUUCUCAGCAUGUACAGAAAAGGUAGUUUUGCUAAGGAGCUUUAUCCUUAUUUUCAAGAAAUGCCAUUGCUGUGUGAUCAGCAAAAUCAAAUCUCACCUGUGGAAUUUCCCAGUAGGAUUUAUACCCAGUAUUAGCUUGACUCUGCUCCCAGUGGCUUUGCCUAACUCCAAAGGGAAGAGACUUGAGGCAGAUUUAGACCUUCCCCAGCUUUCUAAGGACCCGCUGCUGUCACCUCUCCAUAAUGCAGCUACAAUUAACUUCGCUGGAAUUUCUAUAUUUGAAGCAGCUCUAAAUUAGAGCCUGGACUUCCAGACAUGGAUGCAGAUAGUCUCUUCUGCUGUCUGUACGAGCCCUUGGGCUUCACACUAAAAAAGCCCACCCAUGUUGACAAAUUUGCCCUUUGCAGUCUGGCUUCAGUGCAGCCGGUAAAAAUAGCGAGUGAUGCAGCAGACAGAAUGGGCCCUAAACUAUAUUUUUUGAUAGCUUUUCUUAGCUCCAGACUAAAGAGCAAGGCAUCAGAUGUUGACAGAUUAGCGGGGAAUAUACCGAGCAAAGGGAUCUGUUACUGAAAUGCCCACAGUCCAGCGGUUUUGCUGUCGUCCAGAAUUUGAACUUCUCCCUUGGUUUCAGUUGUAUUUUGAUUAAAGCAUAAAUACCAGCAACUGGCACGUGUCAGCCGACAUCAGAGCUAUGUGCCAAAACUUUCUUCAGGUCAGAGCUUUAGUGACACUUUACUUAUCCAUGGAUUUUGUUAGGACUUCUGGGGCAUAGCUCAUUAUUUUUACAGCUGUAACCAGCAGUCGUUGGAUAAUUAUUUCCCUUUAAAUCCAGGAGAACUCUUCUUGCCUUUUGAGUGGGGAACUUAAUUGCAAGAAGUCUCUGGAGGAUGGUUGACGCUGGGUGGUAGUUGUACCAUGGGCAUGUUACCUGCCCCCAAAAAGGAGAAUCCAGGCUCUAAUCCAUACCCCCAAGUUGUGCCAGCUUGCCGGGUACCAAAGCACACCCACACUCGAGUUGGAGACUCCUGUGUUCAGACGAGGAGGAUUAGGGACAUCAUAUGACUAAUUCUGCAAUGACGGUAUAUGCUUAAUUGGUAAAGGACUGUGUUUUCUAUCCUUUUUAAACCCAGGUCACAGUGUCAAAAGUCUGGCUGACGUUUGAGGUUCCUUUCAGGUAUUUUCUUCAUUGAGAUUCACUGUAUUUAAAGCUACUGUGGUUGCCAGCUUUGUCUUAUUCCCUCAAGCGCUACUAUGCCUUUUAGUCAUAAGAAACCAGCAUUCAAAUUCCCCUGAAACACCAGGCUGUGCUGCUUUUGCAGCCCGCAGAGGGCCUUCCCUCAACCACAGGUACAAAAGCUCUGACUGUUGCAAAAGCCAGUGGCCAGGAGUCAGAAAAGCACAGAAUAUAUAUAUGUAUAUAUAUGUAUGUAUGUAUGUAAAAGCAGACUAUGGUCCUAAACUUUAGACAUGUCCUGCUUUUAUGCUCUCUUCUUCAGAUGCCCUGUAACAUAUAAAUACAGCGUUGUUGAUGCUUAGCUCAUAAAAAAAUAAAUACUCUCUAACUUCCAAGACAGUGUGUUGCAGCCAGUUGAAGUCAAUGCAUCUUAAAUUUGGUGGAAGGAAGAUGUUCCUACCAGCUGAUUGUAGUUAACCAUUCAAAGAGUUUACCAAGGGCCACAGCAGCAAAAUUCCUUCUAUUUAAAGCUGCCUGGUUACCUGUCAGGAAAAUGUGUUCCUGAGUUGGUGUAGCCACACUGGAAUUGCUUUUUGGUGACAACUCUGUGGACUGACAGCCUCCAGUAGUGUCAAUCUAUUAAUCUCUUGCUCUGUGCCUAUAAAGCAUUCUGUCCUCCUUCCGUUAGAAGCUGAAGGUAAGUAAAUACAGGUCCCAUCAUGAGAUCAUUUUGCUUGCAUUCAGGUUAUCCACAAAGCCUCUACUUGAGGUGGACAAGCAGAAGGGCAAAAGAAGAUCUUUCCAUCCUUGGCAUAAGGCCAGCCGAGGUGUGACGCUGUGAACCUGGGGCUCGGGAGCUGCAGAGCUGCCCUGGUCAUUCUGCUUUGCUGUGCACAACAGCCAGUGUUGCUGACACUGUCUGGGGGAAGGGCAAGGUGUUAAACUUGCUCUGAGCUUGGAGUGUUUUUGGACCAGGUCAGGCCAGCCUUAAGUGCUGCACGCCUUUGGGUGGCUGCCAGCAGAUCCUGUGGGGUUUUGUAACACCUAAAAAAGACCCUGAGAAUACAACAGCUCUUGAGUUUGCAGAGUGAGAAGAGCCCUUAGACUGUUUUCCAACCUUGUCUGCUUAAGUUACCAUCCUGUGUAAAAGAAGAUAGUAAUUAUUUACUCACAUUGUCUUCAGCUGUUGAUGUUUUACCUGGAAAUGCAAUGCAGGUCUUUUAAAGCACAUAUGGUGGCUACAGCAGCCUAGAGCCAAAGCCUGUCAUCUCUCCAGCUCCCUUGCCUUCCUCUCUCCCCAGGUGUUUAGUUGGCAGAAGGACAUCUUUCAAAUUCUGGUAUUUUAUUUAAAAACCUAGACUCAGUUUAAACUCAGAGGUUUUAAACCGGUUGCAAUUAAGCUUUAACAACGAGAAGGUUCUUAGGGAGGUGCUGUGUCCCUUUGAAAUGGCUUUUUGAAGAAAAGCAUCUGUAUCCCUCCUGAAGCCAGCUGGACUGCACUGCAGGGUUAAGUUUCACUGUUACCUGUGGCCUUGUGCCUCCUGACACACUCAAGGCAUGUAUGGAAGGACCAAUAAAACAUGUCCUGGAGUGUUUGGUGUAUUUUUAGAGUUUGUCCCAGAUUACUGGCCUUUGUCCCAGAUUUCAGUGGUUAGGGUAUAAGAAUGCCCGGUGGGGCUGAGUGCUUCCUGCAUUGCUCUCAGGAAGGCUUUAAUCAGGAAAAAUACCCUCUCAGAGAAGGCAAAUAAUUAAGUUUUUGUGGCACAUACUCUACUGCCAUUAGCAGGAGAUGAUAAACACUCAAGACCACAGUUUAAAUAGAACGAGGCAGAUGCACUGAGCUUUAAAGUGCAACAUUAUUGUGUUAUGUGGUAUUGAGUAAUGAAUUGGACAUUACUAACAAGGUAGUUUUCCUUUUGUCUUAUUGGGACCAGAGUUUGUUUUUACACCAUAAAGUGUCUACCUUUGCUGCUCAUGAUGGGAAAAUGCUGAUGUAAACCACCUGGAGGAAGCUCAUCCCACAUGCUGACAGUUGGCAAUGUGCAAGUGGGGAGCUAAUGCUGGAAGGGAUCUUCAGGUGUCAUCCUGUCCAUUCUCCUCCCUUUGACAGUGUUUAAUUGACCUAUGGCAUUCCUGAUAAAUGCUCAUCCUACCUCUUCCUGCAGUGCUCCAGGCUCACAGGCAUGAUGAGUUUAGCCUGCAGAACUUCUUCCCUCCUGUGUAACCUCAGCCUUUCCUGAUGUAAUUUGGUCCUUACUGAGUAUAUGGGGGAAUGGUUCCUCCUUUUCUCUCUUCUUCAGCUUUUACUCAUUGGAAGAUCAUCUCUCCUCAGCCCACCAAAGUCCAAACACUUCAAUUGUCCCUUCCUGACAUUUCUAGUUGUGCAGCAUGACACUCACUCCAUCCCUUGGACUGCUUAGCCAUAUCUCAGGGGCUAAAUUCCCUUGCUGAAGUCCUGGACUCCCCAUGCCAAUAUCUCUGGCAUCUACUCCUCGGCUCUGGGGAAAUUCUCUGGAUUCAGCCCUCCCAGUUAUUUUGAAGGUCUUUGGGAUGUUGAAGAGCUGCCUGAUGGACCCAUCCAAGCAAUUUCUGGCUUUAAUUUUCUUCCAUCUCGGUCUUGCCUCCUUACCUUCCUACCAACUGCUUCUUGCUCAGCUGUCCUAAUGCACUUUCUCAGACAAUUUCUUCAGCCUCAUGGCAUAGGACAUAGCACAUGUAACAAAUAUUAAGUAUAAAAACUAUGCUGUUAAGAAUCCAGUCACCGGUCCAUCAGUUUUGUAGGGAGAUGGGAGUGACACAGCACCAGGACAGAUGCAGAUAAAGUUCUGCUGCACUCAGUCAUGCCUGUGAGAACCUGCUCUCCUUCCCAGAGCUCCCCAGUAUUCAACUCUUGGACAUUUUGGCAUAUUAUCAGUGAUAAAUGUAUUCACAAGUGAGAGCAGACAGCCCUGCAGGUUGUGAUGCCAGAGUAUUGUGGGUUCUUGGCAUCAGCAGUGCCUGUCUGUGGAUUUCAGAUGAAUGAAACAGAAAUAUUUUUAUAGUCAGCCUCAAGUUUUUAUCUAUUUGUAGGUGUCUUGGUGUCCCCUAAAUAGGGAUUAGGUCCUUUGGCAGGAAGACUGCACUUUAUGUCUUGACUUUCCUGGCCCCGUAUCCACCCAACCUUCUCUUGCUCCUGAAGGCCACUGAUCUUGUCCUUUAUUUUUGCUACCAAAUGCCACUCAUUUAUAUUGAGAAGCAGGUUCCAGCAGCAGGGAAAUUAUCAAUAAUCCAACAAGCAACCAAUCUGUUUCUCUUUUCUUGUGACCUAUCCUGCUGUGGGAUGAUGCACCCACAAUAAUUCUUACUGUUAAUUAUUCACCUACAAUAGUUUAAAUGCUUGCAAGUGCCUACUGACAUCAGAUGUGGAAAGAAUUCAAUAAUAAUGGAGGGAGAAGAAAGAUUUUAAAAAAACGAGGAUGGCAUGAGAAGGCUGAAGGAUAUAUGGCAGAGGUACUGGUUGGGGGUAUUCUGGUGGCCUGGGUUCCAGCUCAGGCUUCUGCAGGAUCUCUGAUAGGCUUUGCUUUACUUAUCUCUUAAGUCCGGAUCAGAAUAGGAACAACGGACUUUAUCCACAGAAGUAAUUAAAAUGUUGCACUCCCUGGCAGCAGAGUUAAAAUCAAUUUCUCUAAUACAAGAUGAAGAACAAUUGGCCAGGCUGCUGCCAUGUGGAAAAAGAUCUGAGACUGUGAUGCUUGAGAGUGCAGCAGAAACCCAGUGCUGCAAAAAUCCAGCAGUUCUCCUGGGAUGUCGGUUGCGAGGGGCACACUGGCAUGGGUCAAUCUUUCCAUUCUGCUUGGCAAUGGCAGGGUCUUGGCUCAAGAACAAUUUCCACACCUCGGGAAACAUAUAGCUCAGCUGGGGAAGGCCCAAAGAGGUGCAUAAAAAGUGACUGGAGGUGUAGGAAACUUGCCUUUGAGGUAAAGCGGAGAGAGAGAAGUGUGUGGUCUGAGCUGAGACAAAACAAAUUGUCAAAUACAUGCAAGACUGAUGCAAAGAGGAGUGGCACAAUGUGUCCUUUUACCUUCUGCAAGUAGGGUGAGUAAUGGGCUUCAACUCCAGCAGGAACAACACAGGUAAAAGGAAAAAUUUUCCGGUGCUAUGGCUGUUGUGGAAUUGGCACUGCAGGAAGUUGUUAGCCAAAACUCUUGCAGGAGUGGUUGAGGUAUUGUUGAUUGUACUGGGAGCCCCUUAGAGGGGUUUAUCCAACUGUUUGGUUUUUUUUAUUUUCUCCAGUUGCCACUGAAUCACUGGAAUUCAGCACUGCAGCAUUUGGGAAGACCUGCCACAAUAGCACCUGCCUGUUUGUAAUCAAGAGGAUUGCAAAGCAAUCACAUGCAUAUUUAGCUGAUGUGCAGCUCCCAGGAUUGAUGGUGCACAGAAACAAGCUAAGAAAUGUGUGUGCUGUAACUGUGGAAGUUGGUUAUUCUGGAGCACUGAAAAUCCAGCUUUUCUUUGACAAGGAGAUGCUGCACGUGAGAAAUAUCGCAGGUUAUAUUUAGUGUUACAGAGGCACAAAGGAAAUCUCAUUAGAACCCACUGACAGUGAUCUGUUGAAAAGGGAAUAGGAGCGAUUUGUGAGCUCGUGGAAAAACAGUGCAUCUCUGUUCUGCCCUGUCCUCACUGUCUGCUGCUACUCUAGGACACAGAUUUCUUGAGAGAAGGAUCUGUGCCUGCUUGCCCAGCUAGCUCUGAUACAUCAUAUUUUAUUUGCUGGGAGACUCGAACAAUGAGCAGUAAACACUCCUGGUCCUGUUUUAAACACAUGGAAACUGCAGUACAGAGUAAUAAAAUGACUUACUCAGAGUCACAGAGCAAUUUUGUGGCAGGGCUUGGAUCAAAAUCCAACUCCCUUGCUCCCAGACCGGUGUGCCAGCCUUUCUCUUCAUUGACCCUUAAUUUUAAUCACCUACCAAGAAAUUCUGUUGGCCUCUUCCAGUUGACUUCCAAGGGAGUAAUGCCAGGUAUCAAAUGAAGUCACUGGGAAUAUCAAUGCAACAGAAGCCAAUAUCAGAUGCAAAGAAAGAACUGAUGGAAGGGGAAAAAAUAGAUUUUAAAAAAAAAAAAAAAAAAAAAAGAAAAAAAGAAAUAAGUUCUAGUGCCGUUUCCAUAAUAUCAUUCCCCUUUUAAUUUGUGCCUGGUCAAAAUUAAAAAAAAAUAGAUCGCUAAUAUUAAUAGAUGAAAUGAAUCUUGAAUUUUAUAAUAGUGGAGGAAAUGAAAGGAACAAAGUAAUAUUGUGUUGUUAACUGAGAUUUUAAUAAUGAUUCUGUCCUCAGUUGGUGCAUUUAUUCCACAGAAAGUAAAUCAUUAAUGAGGAGGAGGGGAAAACAGUUUUGUGGUGAUGGAUUUUUGAAAGAAAAGUUUAAUUUUGCUAAACUUCCAGAAACUCUGAAAUGUGUCUGGAGCUCUAAAACUAAAACACCAACACUUCAAAAACAGCUCGUAAAAGUGGGAUUUAGCCAAGUGGUUAACAUUGCCUGGGGAGUGGUGGAGGAUGUCCAUGGCUGCUCUCCAAGAGAACUGAGGUGAGUGGAUGAGGUAGGGAAGAGAUGCUGGUUUGAUGGAGGAAGGAAGGUUUGAAGGUUUGCUGUUGGUUGGUUGCAUUCUCGUAGCUAUUUCUGAAUAACACCUGGAGAGCAGUAGGACAUCAUCCUCACUCUGAACCAAGGAAAUCCCACUGGGCUCAUCCUACAUUUUUCUGUGGACUUCUGCAAGACCUGCUUCCACCAUGUCCUCUGCAGGGGGGUGGGUGUACUCAAAGCCCUCUGAGUGCUGUGAAGGUGUUUGAUUUCCCAGGUGAAUUAAAAACCCACCAAGGCUAGCAUGUCCACCUACCCACCAUUGCCUUCAACCACCUCCAAGGAGUCCCAAAAAAAAAAGGGCUCCCUGGAGCAACAGCCCAUUUCACACCAAGUCCUCUGGAAAAAAAUGUGAAGCAUGGGGAGAAUCACGGUCUCACAAUGGUGGAGGAGAAAAGCAUCUCUGUAGCUGAGAUUUGCUGCCUAAGAAAAAGCCAAUAUGGAACAUACGUGGCUGUUUCUGCAUGAAGGAGAUAGGGGAAAACACAGAAUUCCCCCGAUUCCUUAAUGAGCACAGCACCCCAACAAUUAAUGUAGAAAUUUGCAAAUUAAACCACAUUUCUGUAUUUAAAUUAUCAAAUCAGUAAAGAGAUGUAAACAUUAACCAACAUUAUAUGAGAGCCUGGAGUGUCACCACAAAAAAAUUAAGACUAUGUAAUUAAAAGUACAAUGCAAUUUAUUUUUAUAUCGUUCUUCAUUCAAAUCAACAAAUCUUAUUACUUACCCAAAAAUGUAAAGCAGACUGCAAACUAAUUCAAAAGAUGAAGACAAAGUGGCUAUUGAAAACUCUAUGUUUGUUGUUCCCUUAGAUCUGGCACCAGUCAUGAUUUAAUAUUUUAACCACUGUAAUAGGUUAUACUGCUGAAGAAAAGUGCAUUAAUUACUAUGGGAAACCUAAAAAAAAAAAUCUAAUUAAGAAGAAUAAAAUCAUUCUUAUUGACUGGGAAAAAUAAAACUAUGUAAAGGGAAAUGAGGGAUGAAAAAACUGACAACACACAAAUAUUAAUAAAUGUUGUCUGCUCAGGGUAGGAAACACAAUUCUACUGUUACUGGGGGUUUGGAUUUGAAACUGGCUGGAAAUCACAGUUGGCCAUGGCUAAAGCUCUUCUCUCACCCACUGGAAGCCCCUUCUAAUUAGCUGCAGCUUGGGAAGUUGAGUUUGCUUCAAGUUCAGCCCAACAUGUCCAUGCAGAGCCAGCCCCACUGGCUGUGUCUGAAACAACAGACUAAAGCAUGACAUGGAACUGUGUUUCAGGGUGUAGUAUGGGGUAAUGAAGUUAUUAUCUUGACAGUUGACAUCCUUCCUACAAAAUUAGAGAGCACACGUGUGAUAAAGCAGCCCAGUGUCCCAAACCAUGCCUGGGGACACCACAGGAAGGAAUCACCAUGGGCAGAUGCCACUCUGUCUUUCUACCAGCCACAGGUCUUUAAAGUAAUGUAAAAGGAAUGUUUUUAUGUGAAAUGCCUACCACCUCGUUUGCUCAGCCCCAGGGAAAGCCGUCUUUUGACUUCACCCCCAAGUAGCCACUGCAAGGGACGACCCACAUCCCCUUUCUGUGCCUUCACAGGAUCCUCAGGGAUGCAGGGUUGCUUUGGGAACAGGUGCAUCUUGUGUCAGCCAGAAACAGCAGCCAAAAGUGUUAGGAGGUGUUUAACUAUAUUUUUCCAGAUGUGAAACUAGGUGGGACCAUGUGGUUUUGUCAUUGCCAGGAUUGGACUCUGGGGCUGUGAUUUUGAGCUUCCAUCCCAAUUUGGAAUAAGAGUGUGUUUAUUUCAUGACUUUGAGCAUUCUUGUCAGCAAAAGUAGUUUUCUGCCCAACUUUACUGCCCUCAUUACUAAGGAUCCCAAUGAUGUCAAAAUGUCUAUGGAUGUUAAAAAGAAGGGAGAGGGUUCCAUAGGGUCAACAUCUACAGUGUUUAAACAAAUACACAUGGUUUAAUUACUUCAGCUGAUAUUAGUAGUAUUAAUGCCUUUUCAAGCAGAAGUAAUCCUUUGAUCACUUAUAUUUACUUCACAUAUGAAAUAGACUGCAGCAGUUUGGCCAGUUCUUUUGUGCCGAAUCCAGUAGCUUGUACAUCAUUAAUAUCACCAAAUAUGAAAAAUUAGUGGUAUAAAUUUUGCACAACCCUUCCAGGAUUACAAAUCUUCCUGAAAGGCAAGAGGAAUCGUCUGAGGAAUAAGGACUUCUAGGUCCAAUGAGUGCAUGCUCUGCCAGAAAGGAAGAAACUGAGUGAAAUCUUUGCAGCAAAUGAUGCUAUUAUGGAUGUGUACUUGCACAGAAAGCCAGCAAAAGGGCACUGCGGCACCUCAGCUGUGUUUUGGUGGUAUCACUGACACCGAGAGUCACACAGCUUUGUGCUCAAAGGAAGAGAUGAAUCACCGUGGACUCCAUUGGCAGUAUUGACAGGCUCUCUGUUGACUGGUGAGGGAGCCACGGGUGACUCCCUCAAGUCCAGAUUUCUGCUUUAGUUGGGUGAACCUACCGAGAGCUUCGUGCCCACACUGUAAGACUUGGAUGCCCUGAGCAGCCCAGACUGUGCCAUUUCAGUCAAUAACUUCUAUGGCAAGCACAGUAUUUUUGGAGAAGCGACACCCAUCAGGAGGAGUUUGCAAUGUAAGUGGACGAAAGAAAUAGCAGGUGGGGAACAGAAAUUCCCUGUGAUCAGUAGGAAAUAAAGUCUGUGCUUCCUGCACCACAUGCCUCAAA